CCCAGCUGAGGUUGAGGCGUAUACUGAUUGGAAUAGUGCAGAGAAGAUGAGCGCGGUCCCCAUGCAGGGAUGACACACAAACUCACGAAGCAGUCUGGGUUUUU